rnacentral:rRNA from 1 species
GAUGAACGCUGGCGGCGUGCCUAAUACAUGCAAGUCGAGCGAACAGACGAGGAGCUUGCUCCCCUGACGUUAGCGGCGGACGGGUGAGUAACACGUGGAUAACCUACCUCUAAGACUGGGAUAACUACGGGAAACCGGAGCUAAUACCGGCUCAUAUAUUGAACCGCAUGGUUCAAUAGUGAAAGACGGUUUUGCUGUCACUUAUAGAUGGAUCCGCGCCGCAUUAGCUAGUUGGUAAGGUAACGGCUUACCAAGGCAACGAUGCGUAGCCGACCUGAGAGGGUGAUCGGCCACACUGGAACUGAGACACGGUCCAGACUCCUACGGGAGGCAGCAGUAGGGAAUCUUCCGCAAUGGGCGAAAGCCUGACGGAGCAACGCCGCGUGAGUGAUGAAGGUCUUCGGAUCGUAAAACUCUUUUAUUAGGGAAGAACAAAUGUGUAAGUAACUAUGCACGUCUUGACGGUACCUAAUCAGAAAGCCCCGGCUAACUACGUG